UCUACUUCCUGAUCACUGACAGACCGAUAGGCACUACGGAAGUGUAAAGAGCUGAUAAGCCUUGACAUGAGGCAGCGGCCGUGUGUCAAGACAUACAGAGAUUGCCCUGCUGCAGCUCUUAUCGCGCCUGCGGUGUGUGUGAGAGGAAAAAAAGGAACAAACGUGACUUUUACGGUGCAGAGAAACGAGCGCGAUAAAGCGGGGAAGCCGAGCGGCAGGGUGAGUGGUGGAUGAUGAGAAAAGCUGCUUCAAAAGGAGGAACGGAGAGGAUUUGUGGAACCGAAGCAGCGCAGAGAGGAGUUCCUCGGCCUUGCUCGGACUUAAAUUGAAGAACAACACUUGGGUCAUUAGCGGUGUCGCCGAGCUCCUCUUUCUGCUGACUCAGAACGGGUGCAUCCAAGCGGGCAACUUCAGAUGUACAACAAGCAGCCUCCCCUGCACCGACCUGACGCACCUCUGUAAACACCAUCGUGUUAGCAGGAAACCAGGGUGAUUCCUAUACGUGCUGUGGCAGAGUGUGUGUGUGUGUGCAAACACCAAAUGCUUCAGCAAACACUUCCUGAGCAGAUAAUUUGUCAGGAGUGAGAAGAGGAAUCAGCACAGCUGUUUACAGCGUAGCAACGGUGUUUAAUGGAGUCCGUGUUUGGCCUUUUUCCACACGCCGCGAGCGUCCCGCGGUCUGAUCUCAUGCGACUGCACGAGUAGUUUUCCACACGGAUGCAGGGCGCAGUCACGGGGCUUGGUGACGUUGCAGAGAGAGCUUGUGACGAUGAAAGGCAUCAGCGGUGAGUUAGAGAAGCUGGACGUUAAGGUAAGAGAAAAUGUAAAGUUUUUCUUUUUUUAGGUCCAAGGCACAAUUUUAGGAACAUUUAUUGUUUUCUUCAGAACUUUUUAUGAUUUUAUUUGAUCUGACUCUUAUUUACCUCAUCCAUAAUUUAUUUUAUGCCAUGUUGGGUUAGGGUUAGGGCUGCAUGGCGGUGCAGCUGGCAGCACGAGAAGGUUGCAGGUCUGAAUGAUGGCUGCAGCCUUUACGUGUGGUCAGUAUGUUCUCCUCGUGCAUCAAAUGGGUUUUCUUUGGUGUAAAUUAUUUAUCUCGUCGACUCCCCCUGCCUCAUCCAAUGACUCGGCAGUUGAACUGGGCAGCCAAAGGCAAUGCACGGGCCAACGCUCGUCAUCCGCAGCUCUUGUCUCCUUAUUGACUACCAACUUGUUUCAAGAGUCGUGACCCAACUUGGUCUAAUUGGCCUUUUUAUUCCUCUAUUUCUGCUGCAGUAUUGUACAGGAUAGUGUUCCAAGGUUGAUAUUCUUAAAAACAUAUAUCUACUUUGUUCUUUGUUCCAUGUCACCAAUGUUUGGACUACCGUAUGCCACUAAGGAGUACCUAAUAGGUGUUGGUCCAUCCCCAUUAAGGGUCAAAGAGCGAGGCCAGGUGUUCCUGUGCAACCCUAAGGUUUAGAAUUUCAGGUUUAGGGGUAGGGUGAUUUGAUGGAUUGGUAUAUAUUUAGUAAUUUGGGUACAUUUUUAUUUGUCUCUGCUUGUUUCUCAUGAAAAUCAAAUUGUCAUGAACUAAGGAUCAAAUUUGAUCCAAUCUCUAAAAAGAGAGUUGUAUACGAUAGUGCAAACUGUAAUUGAUUAAAUAUUCAUCAUUUCUCUUUUUUUCUCCAUUUUUUGAUGUUUUUAUUUGAUGUGACACAUAUAAACCAUGUGAGAAAUACUACAUGGCACGCUCCCUGUGAACUCACUCAACAAGUAUUUACACCCUCAUCUUCAAAGGGGCCUAACCCAUAAAACGCUCCGUAGUCAAUAGUUGCAUCACAGGCCUCUCGAUUCAUAAACUGGCUGUGAAAACCUGAGUAUUGUGAUGCCCCGCCUAAUGCACUUUAAAACCAGUGAGUCAGAAAUCAGACCACUGUCGUCUGUUGCUGAAACAUGUUUAUCCUGCAGUCAAAAGCUUAGGCGAACUGGAUUAUGGAAAUUAAACGACAAAGGCUCGACUCCCCUCCUCCCCUAGACUAAACUACGCACCUUAACACACUUGAACACAAGCAUGAGAGAAAAAUACAUGUUAAAUGUUAAAGGGGUUGUUUUGAUGUUGGUUUAUGUGUGAAGGUGAUUAGUAAUACAUAUCUUAGGAGGCUUGGAGUAAAUCUGCUGCUCCUCCACAUCGAGAGGUGCCA